UGAGGAAUAUUGGACAAUGGAGGCAACUCUGAUCCAGCCAUGCCGCGUGAAGGACUAAGGCCCUAUGGGCUGUAAACUUCUUUAGACGCAGAGCAAUAAGGGCCACGUGUGGUCCGAUGAGAGUAUGCGUAGAAUAAGCAUCGGCUAACUCCGUGCCAGCAGCCGCGGUAAUACGGGGGAUGCGAGCGUUAUCCGGAUUCAUUGGGUUUAAAGGUGCGUAGGCGGCUUUGCAAGUCAGCGGUGAAAGGCCCGGGCUCAACCCGGUGAUGCCGCUGAAACUGGUGUGCUUGAGUGCGUGCGAGGGAGGCGGAAUGCGUUGUGUAGCGGUGAAAUGCAUAGAUAUGACGCAGAACUCCGAUUGCGAAGGCAGCUUUCCAGCACGCCACUGACGCUGGGGCACGAAAGCGU
rnacentral:rRNA from 1 species